UCGAGAGGCUUCGGCAAUGGGGGAAACCCUGACCGAGCGACGCCGCGUGGGGGAUGAAGGCCCUUGGGUUGUAAACCCCUUUUGUUCGGAAAGAAAUGCGAUCAGGUUAAUAAUCUGGUCGUUUGACGGUACCGGACGAAUAAGCUCCGGCUAACUCCGUGCCAGCAGCCGCGGUAAUACGUAGGGUGCAAGCGUUAAUCGGAAUUACUGGGCGUAAAGCGUGCGCAGGCGGUUAUGCAAGACAGGUGUGAAAUCCCCGGGCUUAACCUGGGAACUGCACUUGUGACUGCAUAGCUGGAGUACGGCAGAGGGGGAUGGAAUUCCGCGUGUAGCAGUGAAAUGCGUAGAUAUGCGGAGGAACACCGAUGGCGAAGGCAGUCCCCUGGGCCUGUACUGACGCUCAUGCACGAAAGCGUGGGGAGCAAACAGGAUUAGAUACCCCUGUAGUCCCUGAGCGGGCUGGCAAGGCGCAU
rnacentral:rRNA from 1 species